GGGCCAUAUCAUGUUAAAACGCCGGUUCUCGUACGAUCACCGAAGUUAAGCAACGUUGAGCUUGGUCAGUAUCUUGAUGGGUGACCGCUUAAGGAAUACCAAGUGCU